ACAGCAGUAGCCACGGUAAUACGAAGGGGGCUAGCGUUGUUCGGAUUUACUGGGCGUAAAGGGCGCGUAGGCGGACUGAUAAGUCAGGGGUGAAAUCCCAAGGCUCAACCUCGGAACUGCCUUUGAUACUGUUUGUCUUGAGUUCGAGAGAGGUAAGUGGAACUGCGAGUGUAGAGGUGAAAUUCGUAGAUAUUCGGAAGAACACCAGUGGCGAAGGCGACUCGCUGGACAAGUAUUGACGCUGAGGUGCGAAAGCGUGGGGAGCAAACAGGAUUAGAUACCCGCGUAGUCCCUGUCUCUUAUAC
rnacentral:rRNA from 1 species